rnacentral:misc_RNA from 1 species
GCUCGCGAUCGGUUGCCUGUGCGGUUCUACCCUCUUGCGGGUAGCGAGGUCGUCCCUCGAUGGAUAUUUGCUUGCCUUUCCGACGCACUGUCGUCCGGGCGGCCGAAUUGUUGGCGAAAUCCCUGUGUCGGUGCGCGGUCGGACGCCGCGUUGCUAUCGCUUGGAUUUCUGCCGGCUCUCACGGAUGCGGUGCCUAUUGCCAGCUCUGCGGGGCUCUGCCCCGCAGACUUCGGGAGGUCCCUCGCGCGCAUCACUGCUCUCAUACGCCGUCUGUCGUGUUGCCGG